UUGGAGGUUGUGCCCUUGAGGCGUGGCUUCCGGAGCUAACGCGUUAAAUCGACCGCCUGGGGAGUACGGCCGCAAGGUUAAAACUCAAAUGAAUUGACGGGGGCCCGCACAAGCGGUGGAGCAUGUGGUUUAAUUCGAUGCAACGCGAAGAACCUUACCUACUCUUGACAUCCAGAGAACUUUCCAGAGAUGGAUUGGUGCCUUCGGGAACUCUGAGACAGGUGCUGCAUGGCUGUCGUCAGCUCGUGUUGUGAAAUGUUGGGUUAAGUCCCGCAACGAGCGCAACCCUUAUCCUUUGUUGCCAGCGAUUCGGUCGGGAACUCAAAGGAGACUGCCGGUGAUAAACCGGAGGAAGGUGGGGAUGACGUCAAGUCAUCAUGGCCCUUACGAGUAGGGCUACACACGUGCUACAAUGGCGUAUACAAAGAGAAGCAAGCUCGCGAGAGCAAGCGGACCUCAUAAAGUACGUCGUAGUCCGGAUUGGAGUCUGCAACUCGACUCCAUGAAGUCGGAAUCGCUAGUAAUCGUAGAUCAGAAUGCUACGGUGAAUACGUUCCCGGGCCU
rnacentral:rRNA from 1 species